AUGCACGCUGGCGGCGUGCCUAAUACAUGCAGGUCGAGCGAACGGACGAGAAGCUUGCUUCUCUGAUGUUAGCGGCGGACGGGUGAGUAACACGUGGAUAACCUACCUAUAAGACUGGGAUAACUUCGGGAAACCGGAGCUAAUACCGGAUAAUAUUUUGAACCGCAUGGUUCAAAAGUGAAAGACGGUCUUGCUGUCACUUAUAGAUGGAUCCGCGCUGCUUUAGCUAGUUGGUAAGGUAACGGCUUACCAAGGCAACGAUGCAUAGCCGACCUGAGAGGGUGAUCGGCCACACUGGAACUGAGACACGGUCCAGACUCCUACGGGAGGCAGCAGUAGGGAAUCUUCCGCAAUGGGCGAAAGCCUGACGGAGCAACGCCGCGUGAGUGAUGAAGGUCUUCGGAUCGUAAAACUCUGUUAUUAGGGAAGAACAUAUGUGUAAGUAACUGUGCACAUCUUGACGGUACCUAAUCAGAAAGCCACGGCUAACUACGUG
rnacentral:rRNA from 1 species